rnacentral:rRNA from 1 species
AUUGAACGCUGGCGGCAGGCCUAACACAUGCAAGUCGAACGGUAACAGGAAGACGCUUGCUUCUUUGCUGACGAGUGGCGGACGGGUGAGUAAUGUCUGGGAAACUGCCUGAUGGAGGGGGAUAACUACUGGAAACGGUAGCUAAUACCGCAUAACGUCGCAAGACCAAAGAGGGGGACCUUCGGGCCUCUUGCCAUCGGAUGUGCCCAGAUGGGAUUAGCUAGUAGGUGGGGUAACGGCUCACCUAGGCGACGAUCCCUAGCUGGUCUGAGAGGAUGACCAGCCACACUGGAACUGAGACACGGUCCAGACUCCUACGGGAGGCAGCAGUGGGGAAUAUUGCACAAUGGGCGCAAGCCUGAUGCAGCCAUGCCGCGUGUAUGAAGAAGGCCUUCGGGUUGUAAAGUGCUUUCAGCGGGGAGGAAGGGAGUAAAGUUAAUACCUUUGCUCAUUGACGUUACCCGCAGAAGAAGCACCGGCUAACUCCGUG